UGGGGGCUCGUCUAACGGCAGGACAGCGGACUCUGACUCCGCCGGUAGAGGUUCGAAUCCUCUGCCCCCAGCCA
rnacentral:tRNA from 1 species